rnacentral:rRNA from 1 species
CCUACGGGAGGCAGCAGUGGGGAAUUUUGGACAAUGGGCGAAAGCCUGAUCCAGCAAUGCCGCGUGAGUGAAGAAGGCCUUCGGGUUGUAAAGCUCUUUUGUCAGGGAAGAAACGGUGAGGGCUAAUAUCUCUUGCUAAUGACGGUACCUGAAGAAUAAGCACCGGCUAACUACGUGCCAGCAGCCGCGGUAAUACGUAGGGUGCAAGCGUUAAUCGGAAUUACUGGGCGUAAAGCGUGCGCAGGCGGUUUUGUAAGUCUGUCGUGAAAUCCCCGGGCUCAACCUGGGAAUUGCGAUGGAGACUGCAAGGCUAGAAUCUGGCAGAGGGGGGUAGAAUUCCACGUGUAGCAGUGAAAUGCGUAGAGAUGUGGAGGAACACCGAUGGCGAAGGCAGCCCCCUGGGUCAAGAUUGACGCUCAUGCACGAAAGCGUGGGGAGCAAACAGGAUUAGAUACCCUGGUAGUCCACGCCCUAAACGAUGUCUACUAGUUGUUCGGUUUUAAUUACGUUGGUAACGCAGCUACGUCGUGAGUAGCGCCGNGGAGGUACGGUCGUCGAGAGUUAAACGUUACUAAGUUAGUUAGUAGAGNGNGAGAGNGCGAGGACGACGACGAGGGAGAGG